rnacentral:rRNA from 1 species
GCCGUGGGGGGCUACACACUGCAAGUCGAACGCCGUAGCAAUACGGAGUGGCAGACGGGUGAGUAACGCGUGGGAACGUACCCUUCGGUUCGGAAUAACCCGGGGAAACUCGGGCUAAUACCGGAUACGUCCGCAAGGAGAAAGAUUUAUCGCCGAAGGAUCGGCCCGCGUCGGAUUAGCUAGUUGGUGAGGUAACGGCCCACCAAGGCGACGAUCCGUAGCUGGUCUGAGAGGAUGAUCAGCCACACUGGGACUGAGACACGGCCCAGACUCCUACGGGAGGCAGCAGUGGGGAAUAUUGGACAAUGGGCGAAAGCCUGAUCCAGCCAUGCCGCGUGAGUGAAGAAGGCCUUAGGGUUGUAAAGCUCUUUCAGCGGGGAAGAUAAUGACGGUACCCGCAGAAGAAGUCCCGGCUAACUUCGUGCCAGCAGCCGCGGUAAUACGAAGGGGACUAGCGUUGUUCGGAUUUACUGGGCGUAAAGCGCGCGUAGGCGGAUCGCUAAGUCAGGGGUGAAAUCCCAGGGCUCAACCCUGGAACUGCCUUUGAUACUGACGAUCUGGAGAUCGGGAGAGGUUGGUGGAAUCCCGAGUGUAGAGGUGAAAUUCGUAGAUAUUCGGAGGAACACCAGGAACGGAAGGCGGGCCAAUUGGCCCGAUACUGGACGCUGAGGCGCGAAGCGUGGGGAGCAACCGGAUUAGAUACCCUGGU